rnacentral:snoRNA from 1 species
UCGAUAUGAUGCUAACCAUAUUUGCUACUUCGGACGAGGCUCGCCAGCUUCGAAUGAGACAUACUAAUCACCAAGAUCUCUGAUCAU